GGAUGGCGUGAGGAAGGGCGUAACCUUCGUAGAUGGGUACGGUGUGCGAGACACCAUCUCCGGAGUCCAAGACGAUACCGGUGGUACGACCGGAAGCGUACAGGGAGAGCACGGCCUGGAUGGCGACGUACAUGGCCGGGCUGUUGAAGGUUUCGAACAUGAUCUGGGUCAUCUUUUCGCGGUUAGCUUUUGGGUUCAGGGGAGCCUCGGUGAGGAGGACUGGGUGUUCCUCAGGGGCAACACGCAAUUCGUUGUAGAAGGUGUGA